rnacentral:rRNA from 1 species
CCUACGGGUGGCAGCAGUGGGGAAUCUUGCGCAAUGGGCGGAAGCCUGACGCAGCGACGCCGCGUGCGGGACGAAGGCCUUCGGGUCGUAAACCGCUUUCAGCAGGGACGAGGGCCUCACGGUGACGGUACCUGCCGAAGAAGCCCCGGCAAACUACGUGCCAGCAGCCGCGGAAUUACGUGGGGGGCGGUGGUAAUCCGGAUUCAUUGGGCGAAAGGCGCGCGUAGGCGGCCUGUUAGGGCGGGGGUCAAAUACCGGGGCUCAACCGCGGUCCGCCCCCGAUACCGGCAGGCUUGAGUCUGGUAGGGGGAGGCGGAAUUCCCAGUGUAGCGGUGAAAUGCGUAGAGAUUGGGAAGAACACCGGCGGCGAAGGCGGCCUUCUGGACCACGACUGACGCUGAGGCGCGAAAGCCAGGGGAGCGAACAGGAUUAGAUACCCCUGUAGUC